GUGCUCCUUUCAGCAGCACAUGUACUAAAAUUGGAACGAUACAGAGAAGAUUAUCAUGGCCCCUGGGCAAGGAUGACACGCAACUUCAUGAAGCGUUCCAUACUUAA
rnacentral:snRNA from 1 species